rnacentral:lncRNA from 1 species
UCGAACACGUGUGUUCUGUUCUGAAUUUAAGAAUCCUCAAACAUCUCGGUUAGGUACCGCGAAAAUUCAUCGAUACAGAUUAUCUAGUGUAACUAGUUAACUCUAACAUGAAUUUAGUAUGUCUAUCAAUCUUUUCACAUGUAUAUUUUUUUUUUUGCAAACCAUGCAUAAUUAGAAAAGAAGAUCCAAAUUUUUUUGUUUUGUUUUAUUUUAUUUUUGAAUUCAAGAAGUUCUCCGCACAAACCUAUAAUUUUUUUCGGCCAUGAACAAGAGCCGGUUGUUUAAUCUCCUCCCCGUAGCUUCCGAGACUCAAACAUAAUAUAUCUACCUUUAGAAAAGAAAGCUUUACCAGUUGAAUUAGCAACUCCGAAUUCCAUUUUUUUAUUACUUGUAAAUCAUGCUUAUAUGUCAAUUUCAUUUCUGU